GAAAUAUGACUUUAGUCCUAUUUUCGUUGGUUUAGGUACUUCAGUAAUGAUGAAUAGAAACGGUUAGGGGCAUUUGUAUUUGGUCGCUAGAGGUGAAAUUCUUGGAUUGA
rnacentral:rRNA from 1 species